rnacentral:tmRNA from 1 species
GGGGGUGAACUGGUUUCGACGGAGAGAGUUGAGCGAAAGGAGCAUGCAGGGGUUGGUUACAGCGCCUCUUUAAAACGUUGUGGCAGCCAGAAGUGGCAACAAUACUAAACUCGCUCUCGCUGCCUAAUUAAGCACAGAGCCGGUGACUUGGGUGCGGCAGCACGUGCAUCCAAAAUCGCCGCUAAUUUACGUGCGGGUAUUCGUCAGCUUCUGUUCGUAGCUGAGCAUCCCUAUCAAUCGAACUGGCUUGUGUAGUAGGACGUCUUUCUCCGGCUAUCAAGUAAGAAAUCUUGAAAGAAGAAGCAUGUGGCGCCAAUUGUGAUGCCUAUCCGGACCCGGGUUCGAUCCCCGGCACCUCCACCA